GCAAUAGGCUGUGUUGUGUUUUGCAGCCAUUGGACUAAUGGGUACUUAUGACCAAAUCUGUGUGUGUGUGUGUGUGUGUGUGUUUGUGUUGUGUGUGCAUGUGUGUGCACAUACUACACAUGCAUAUGUACAUGCAUGCAUGUCUUCACUUUAGAAUACAGAUGAAAGUUUGAGGGAUCAUUUGGACUUUUGCCAUGCAUGUAUCUAUCACAACUUUCAUUCAUCCCCUUUAGAGUUGAGAAUUUCCUUUCCUUUUUGCCUUGUUUUAAUUCAUCAUAUCUUUGCUAGUUAUAUAUCUGUGGAUCUCAAAUUUCAUAAGUGAUUAGCAAUCCUGAAAAUAGGUACAGUUUAAGAAACUAGUAUUUAGGGAGGGUCAGUUCCUAAAGUGUGCAGUCGGGGGAUGGUUUUCCAUGAUCCAGACUUAGAUCUAAUUCCAAGGCUAGUAAGUCUUUAUGUAACGGCCCAUGUGAAGUGGAUUCUUACUUGAGGACAAGCUACUAAACACAGGCUCUUGGAGCUAGUCAUUUGGUCUCCAGGGCCUGCCUAUCAAGUUUAUGGAGGGGUUAUUCCACCAAAUUCUUAGCACAUAGUUUUCCAAACUCUGGGGUGAUCCUUGCACUUAAUUUCUCUUACCUGACAUUCAAUGAUUCUGCCUUUUUUUAGGAGACAGGUGGCCUGAAACCACAUACCAGGAGGCGAAACACUCUUAGGUGUUGGAGGUUGAAUUCCCAGAGUUAAUCUUCCUGCCUCUGGGGAGCCACACAAAUCCAUAGCAAAACAGAACAUAAAAUAACAAGUUUAUUAAUAGCUGAGCAAGCUCUGAAAGCCUCACUGCAAAAACAGGGGUCAUGGUUGUUUUAUCGUGGGUCUGGAUUUGAGGCUGUGAGUUCAGCUUUGGGGAGGAACAUGCUUGAAUUGGUGAAGCAGAACCCAAGCUUGCCUAAACAAUCACAAGAACGAGGGUAACUGCCUGAGUCUUCAUGCCAGACAAGUCACCUGUGGAAGAAAAACUGAUGGAUAUGUCUCACCAAUGCCAAGAUGACUGUUGCUGCAAGACAGGGUCUUGAAUCACUUCUUUUGGACGACACGGCCUAGCGGUGGUGGUGGGAGCUGUCUUCAAAGAGUCAGUCUUUAUAUUUUGAAAGAAGCAGCUAAGACCCUUGAAAAGAAAACAUGCGUCACGCAAAAAGUCUCUUUUAAAAAGACAAUGAAAAAUUAAAUUACACAGGACAAUCAGCUGCCAGAAAUGUGUCACUGCAAGCAGUCCUGCACAUUUCAUGAAACAUCUUAUUUGGAUAAAACUUAAAUUAUUACCACACCAGUCUCUGCACACUCCCCUCCAACCCCUGUUCUUUUCCAAGAAUAGCCGUAACCAAGCUUGACAAACUACUGAUUUCACCAAAGCACUUUCAAUGCCUGUUAGACAUCAGAGCGAAGUAGAGGAGGAGGACCGAAGAACACGGUGGUGCUUGAGAGAGAAGUUUCUGGGAUCUGAGACACACAAAGACCUUCCUCCGUGUACUCCUCCCUAAUUGGCUGGCAGAUCAAUAAGGGGCACCUGGCAUAGAAAGUGUGUAGGAUUUCCCUCCCGUUUUGCUUUUAUUUGUCUCUCCUCACGCAAGGUCAGUGACAAAGCGGAGCUCUGGACAUUGGAGUCUGAUGACCACCACAAACUUUCUAGGCGUAGGAAUAAACAACCCAAUGACUAGUAUACAGGGUUAGAGGGGAUACAACAUGGAACAUUGAGGUGCUUACCAACAGAGGAGAGACAGGGAGGUAUCACUCACUGGAGGAGGGGGAAAGGCUGUUACCUCUGGACUGUGAACCAGGUGGCAUGUGAGCCGAUUUCCAAAGAUAGGGAAGAUCAUGUAUGUCAUAGACAUGCAGGUGGGAAGAGAGGUAUUUUUAGUAUCCAAAAAAAUUGUGGUUGGUUCAUUCCAGGCCCAGGGAAUGAAAAAAUGGAGGGAUAACGAAGUCUUUGGGGGUGGGAAUGCCCAAGGGCCUGGCACAUGCAGUGAGAGACAAGGGCAGCCAGUGACAGAAAAAUGGAAAGGACAGUUUGAUGUGGUGAGAACCUAGAUUCAAAAUGAGUCCCUUGUCCCACCCCCCCAUUUAUGGUGUAAUCUUGAGCAUGUCUGUCCACCCUUCUGAGUUUUGUGUUCUCCAUUAAGCGUGAAGGCAAGGAUGCUUGCCUUUUGGCAUGGUAAUCUUACUCGCUGAUACACUGGAAGCGUUAGAAGGAUGCUUGGCUCAAAGUAACUGCUCAGAACAUUUGGAAGCCUUGUCUGGCUCUCAUGGAAAAUGCUAGAAACUGUUAGGAUGGGAAGCCAAGCAGGGCUGAUCUUAGCUGGCCUUGUUAUCACAAUUUGGACCAUACGCCUUAGCAUUUCCACUAUGUGUUCUUGGACAUGGAUGCUAGUCUCUUCGGGCUUCUAUUUUCUCAUCUGGAUUGGAAGAUUGCUCAUUAGAAAUAGACUUUAUCCUCUGUGGCCCUCACAUUCCAACCUUGACGCACAAAGGGAAGAGUUUACAUUCUCUUCUCUUCCCAGAGCCAAGUGGAACAUUCACAAGCUCUAUCUCGUCUCUGCUAGACCUCUCUGGAACAACAAAGAAGUCUCUAAUGUGCUGUCCAGUGGAGGAUAACAAUCCCAUCUUCUGCUCUGUGUUCCAGUUUCCCCAUCUAUUCCAGGGUAGCUGUUGGUUUGGCUAGCACAU